UGGUGGGCACCGUGCGGCGUCCAUCCUGUGAACUCCCCCAGGGCCGGAAGGCAGCAAGGGUCAGCGGGCUCUGACGGGUGCGCGGUGCCCGCUUUUU
rnacentral:SRP_RNA from 1 species